CCGCAUCCCGGCCAUCUACACAGCAACAUGCCCAUUUGAGUCCCGGCCAGGGGACGGCGCCCCGCAAUGGGGAAAGAAGCCAAUGCAUUAUUUCAGGUAUUAUUAGCCAUUUUUCAUGUGUGGUUUAGGAGUUAUUGUCAUGACGAAGGUGUUUUCGCAGCUUACUGCGAGGAUUGUUUUCCCAGGAAGCAAACAGACUAUUUCUACUAAUACAAAGGUAGGAACAUAUUUAAUUAUUCAAAAUAGGUACAAACAAAAAGCUGCACAAGGCAAAGGCACAACUUAGCGAAGGGUACAAAAACUAACAUCUAGCAGAACUAUGGACAAUAAAUAAAAACUCGCUAACUGUGGCAUUAAAAAAUAAAACUUACUUGGCAUAGCAUGAAGCGAACAAUCGCAUGAAAACAAACAUAAACCUAUAGCAUGAAACAAACAUGAAACUAUCAAUACAGAAAAUGAAUCUAUGGCAUGAACAGAGUAAUGUCGCCCAGACGACUAACUGGCAAAACAUGCUUGAAUAAUAGUCUCUGAUUAGAGCAGGUGCGUGAUCCAAAAACAUGAGGUAUGUGAAACUAAUGGGUCGUCAUUGUAACUAAACAAGGGCGCGUAAACAGGAACAAAAAGAGUCCAAAACUAACACAAAAUAACAAACAACAUGAUCCAGACCACAGAUCAUGACAGUUAUGUUUAAAUAACUUUCAUAUCGAAUGUGUGAUAGUUACACUGUCAUUAUGAGUAAAACCUAAAUGUUUGUAUUUGCAAACCUUACAAAAACAACUGAUUGUCAGAGUUAGUUUGUGAGGAACCUCAAGAUGCAGAGACGGAGUCAGGCAUUGAACAGGAAAACAUGAUUUAAUUUAAAUAAAUAGAACAAGAACAAACAAAAGGGUACUAACACAAAGCGCGCACGAGGCGGAUAACAAACUAAGGGAGCUAGCAUGGGAGCUAGAAAACAAAAAGGAACUUAGCAUGGAAGCUAGCAAGAAUCGAGCAUGAAACAGAAGUCGUACAGGUAAAAUAAAAACAAACUUGGAAGCAGGGAACAAAAGGCAGUAAGCUAAAAACCGCAAUCAAACAUAGCUUACCGCAACGCUGCAUAGACAAGACAAGAUAUGACACGAUGCAACAGGAGCGACAUCGGCAUGACAAUAAUCCAGCAACUGACUGGAGGACAAAAACAGACUCAAAUAGAAGCGGGCUGAUUGACACAAGGUGUGGCCAGGUGCCAAUCAGCUGCCACUGAGGGGAAAACAGCGCACAGGGGAAAAAACAGGAAACAGACAAAAUAAGAGCACUGACAGGAACUAAAAACAGGAAAUAAUAAACACACAGAGGAAACCAAGACAAAUGCAGAGGAAAAACACUAAAACACAAACAAACUGUCAGGGGAAAGCCUGCCACUGAUUUUAGUAAAACGCACAUACAUAAAAUUAGACAUGUCACAUGCUUGGUUUUGGAGUUAUGUUCAUAUAACUUUCAAAUUUUGAAUGACAGUUAUAUUGUCAUAACAAAACUAAAUUGUGUCCCUGCAAACCUUGCACAAUAUUUUUUUCUACUAAAGCUCACAAAGAUACAUUUUUUCAGACAUUUUUAAAGAUUUUGCAUGUUUGGUUUAGGAGUUAUGUUUGAAUACAUUUGUAUUGCUUUUAUCGCAUUAUCUCAGGAUUCUAGGCACAUUUCUGUCAUACUGCGUAAAACACUACUUUUGUGUUUGCAAGGCUUAAAAAAAGCAUAUGUGUUGAGUAAAACUCGCAAAGAUACAUAAUUUCAUUAAUUUUUAGCCAUUUCAGUACUAAUGUACUAGCAUUUUUAGACAGAUUACAUGUUUGGUUUUGGAGUUACGUUUCAAUAACUUUCAUAUUUAGUAUGAAUACUCUCAUAUUGAGUAAAAAAAAUAAUAACUUUUGUCUUUGCAAAUCUUAAAAAAGAUCAAUGUGGAGAGGGGCCGGCCAUGAAGCAGCUGACAGCAGUGCCGGAGACUAUGAGCGGGGGAGAUAGUGGGAGCAGGAGAGACGCAAAGAAGCUGAAAAUCAACGAAGAGCAGAACAGAAGGGACCAGAUUGCUUAAAAGCAAAGAAAGAAACUUUGAAGACGACAGCAAUGAAAACAAAUAAAAACUCCUGUUGAAACCCA